rnacentral:rRNA from 1 species
UACGAAGGGGGCUAGCGUUGCUCGGAAUCACUGGGCGUAAAGCGCACGUAGGCGGAUCUUUAAGUCAGGGGUGAAAUCCCAAGGCUCAACCUUGGAACCGCCUUUGAUACUGGGGAUCUCGAGUCCGGAAGAGGUUGGUGGAACUGCGAGUGUAGAGGUGAAAUUCGUAGAUAUUCGCAAGAACACCAGUGGCGAAGGCGGCCAACUGGUCCGGUACUGACGCUGAGGUGCGAAAGCGUGGGGAGCAAACAGG